UACGUAGGGGGCAAGCGUUGGUCCGGAUUUAUUGGGCGUAAAGAGCGCGUAGGCGGUCCGGUAAGUCCGCUCUGAAAGUCCGGGGCUCAACCCCGGGAGGCGGGCGGAUACUGCCGGGCUAGAGUCCGGAAGAGGCGAGUGGAAUUCCUGGUGUAGCGGUGAAAUGCGUAGAUAUCUGCAGGAACACCGUGCGAAGCGGCGCGCUGGACCACUACUGACGCUGAAGAACGAAAGCUAGGGAGCAA
rnacentral:rRNA from 1 species